GUUUUCUUGCAGAUGUUCCAUCGCAGUGAUGCUCUUCUCAUGUUCGCCACCAGCAUGGAGCUCGUCCCCCACCCUUCUCUCCAAGAACCUGCACUUUAACGGUGUGCAACAAAAGCCACUCGUUUUCCUCAUGUUUUUGUUGCCGAUGUUUGACGUGGUCGGAGUGAGCGAGAGUGAUUUGCUAUGCGGACCCCCCGCCUCCUGGAGGAGAAGCACGCCGCCGCCCUCCGCACCCACGCACGCGGCUCCCGAUAUCGAGCCCGAUGAACCGUGUGCUCUCUGUUCGGUUGCACUCCAGGAUGGAUGUGUUUGCGGUCAACGAGGUCGUUUUGUGACGGCCGAGGUCUCCCCUUGCUCCUCGCUGUGGGCCGGAGGUGCCCAGCUGCUGCGGUGAGCUGCGUUCGCGGACGCGCACCUGGGUGUUCGCAUGUACUGGAGCACAGCUAUAUUUAAACAUCACGACCUGUUGUGCCACUUUCAAUGUGGGCCAAACAGACGUGGGAGGCAGCAGCAGGAGAGGCUUUUCAAAGGCUCCGCCCCUUGGUGUUGUAUUACUAUGUUGCUUAGGAGAUGCUUUCUGUUUAAUUUUUUUUUUUUUAAAUCAGACUUCAUAAAUAACCCUCAUGAAAAAUUCUGCCUAUUUAUAAAGCAGGACACUACAGGGAAGCCGCGGGUUUAAGAUCCCUUCCGUGACAGGACCCCCGUUGACCCAUGUGCACACAUCAUUGUGCGUGGAUGGCCUGGGAGCCCCGGCUGGGCACCCGGUUGACCGUAGGGACGCGGGGAUGGAUGAAAGGCAAAGGCGGCCCCGGCGGACACUUGGGCGGCCAGGAGUCCCCGUCAUCGUGCCCUACUUAUGGAGAACGCCACCUUAUGGUCCAAAUGUGCACCUCCAGACCAGGAAUAAUGACAGGAGGCUCUUUUGAAAAACAAUUUGUCUUUGAUUCAUGGCCAGAGUCGGGUAGAGGUGUCAAGAACGCUCGCCGACUUUCCUUAACUUCUUCUCCAAGUCAGAGUCGUGAUGGUGCGGAGCCUAUCCCGGAAGCAAGUAGGUAUAGGUACGCAGGGCUAGUCGGAGCAGCACUGUGGACACAUUUCAACUGUCACAAUAUUAAAAAACAUAUUCUUAACUUCUUAAACAUAUUUAAACCCGAUUUUAUCCCGCAGAGAUCACCUGCUUGGCCAUGAAUGAAAGGCGAGACAAAUCUCAGGAACCCAACCUUAACCUUUCCGACUGGGAGCAUCAUACAGAGAAAAAUGAACCCUCUAUGGUACUAACACGCCACUCAUAGCGUGCGGGAGUCGAAUGAUAUGCGAUGGGUAAAUGUAACUUUUCACCGCUCGCCUCUGUUUUUAACGCAGGGAAAACGACAGAUGUCGGAGAAACGUGAUCCCGGAGAGGGAGCAACUCCAAGUCCGAGUAUCUUAUGUGGAAUAUCUUAUUUCUCAUUUCUCGCUUUACGCAGCUGUUCUUUGAAGAGAAGCUGGGUGGAACAGACUAACACUACCGAUGAACAACAUAAACCAUCGACACACUUCGCGCUGAUAUAUUUAUCAUGGCAUUCAGGGGUUUACAUUACUGCUAAUGUCAGCUUCCCUGUCGGAAUAAAGAUGCACUUUAUAAAGAGCUUGUUAGUAAA
ensembl:lncRNA